GGCCGGUUAGCUCAGUGGGUUGAGCGUGGUGUUGACAACAAUGACAACACCAAUGUCGUGGGUUCAAUUCCCGCUCGGUCC
rnacentral:tRNA from 1 species